CCCUUAGAUGUUCUGGGCCGCACGCGCGCUACACUGACGAAUGCAACGAGCUUAUAACCUUGGCCGAAAGGUCUGGGUAAUCUCCAAAUUUCGUCGUGAUGGGGAUAGAUUAUUGCAAUUAUUAUCUUCAACGAGGAAUGCCUAGUAAGCGCAAGUCAUCAGCUUGCGUUGAUUACGUCCCUGCCCUUUGUACACACCGCCCGUCGCUCCUACCGAUUGAAUGGUCCGGUGAAGCGUUCGGACCGUGGCCUUUGGACGGUUCGCCGUCUGUUGGCUGCGGGAAGUUCGUUAAACCUUAUCAUUUAGAGGAAGGAGAAGUCGUAACA
rnacentral:rRNA from 1 species